rnacentral:rRNA from 1 species
AAUCAACGCUGGCGGCGUGCCUAACACAUGCAAGUCGAACGCGACUGAGGGCUUCGGUUCUCAGUUGAGUGGCGAACGGGUGAGUAACACGUGGGUGAUCUACCUUCGAGUGGGGGAUAACGUCCCGAAAGGACGCUAAUACCGCAUGACGUUCUGGGUUUGAAGACCUGGAAACCAAAGCCGGGGACCGCAAGGCCUGGCGCUUGAAGAGGAGCCCGCGUCCGAUUAGCUAGUUGGCGGGGUAANGGCCCACCAAGGCGACGACGGGUAGCCGGCCUGAGAGGGCGACCGGCCACACUGGGACUGAGACACGGCCCAGACUCCUACGGGAGGCAGCAGUGGGGAAUCUUGCGCAAUGGGCGAAAGCCUGACGCAGCGACGCCGCGUGAGGGAUGACGGCCC